rnacentral:rRNA from 1 species
GAUGAACGCUGGGGGCGUGCCUAAUACAUGCAAGUCGAGCGAACGGACGAGAAGCUUGCUUCUCUGAUGUUAGCGGCGGACGGGUGAGUAACACGUGGAUAACCUACCUAUAAGACUGGGAUAACUUCGGGAAACCGGAGCUAAUACCGGAUAAUAUUUUGAACCGCAUGGUUCAAAAGUGAAAGACGGUCUUGCUGUCACUUAUAGAUGGAUCCGCGCUGCAUUAGCUAGUUGGUAAGGUAACGGCUUACCAAGGCAACGAUGCAUAGCCGACCUGAGAGGGUGAUCGGCCACACUGGAACUGAGACACGGUCCAGACUCCUACGGGAGGCAGCAGUAGGGAAUCUUCCGCAAUGGGCGAAAGCCUGACGGAGCAACGCCGCGUGAGUGAUGAAGGUCUUCGGAUCGUAAAACUCUGUUAUUAGGGAAGAACAUAUGUGUAAGUAACUGUGCACAUCUUGACGGUACCUAAUCAGAAAGCCACGGCUAACUACGUG